CCUCUUUGGAAGUAUCUUGUGCAUGCUGCGGACAGAUUAAAAGCUAGUGCUGGAAGGCCUGUCUAUGGUUUUAAGAAGGAAGCUCUGAGGAGUCAGUCAAGUGUGGACAGGAGAUUCGGGGGCAGAAAUCUGCUUCACAGAUGUGCUCAGAAAUGAAUGAAUUGAAGAGUUUCACCACCUGGCCCCAAACAAUCACAGAUGGCCAAACUGAGGCUCCAGAAGGUGUGUGACUUCCUGAGGCCUCAAGAGCCAGCACAUAAUAUAGCCUGGACACGAGGGGCUGGAUCUGAGCCCAGUGUUCUCUGUCCUCCAUGAGGCACCCACCCAUCUCCCUUUAACCGGCACCCACAUCUCUCCCUUUAACAUCCAACUUUCUCCACUUCAACC